GAUGAACGCUGGCGGCGUGCUUAACACAUGCAAGUCGAGCGAGAAAAGUUCUUCGGAGCUUUUCUAGCGGCGGACGGGUGAGUAACACGUGGGCAACCUGCCUCAUAGAGGGGAAUAGCCUUCCGAAAGGAAGAUUAAUACCGCAUAACAUUGUUGAAAGGCAUCUUUUAACAAUCAAAGGAGCAAUCCGCUAUGAGAUGGGCCCGCGGCGCAUUAGCUAGUUGGUGAGGUAACGGCUCACCAAGGCGACGAUGCGUAGCCGACCUGAGAGGGUGAUCGGCCACAUUGGAACUGAGACACGGUCCAGACUCCUACGGGAGGCAGCAGUGGGGAAUAUUGCACAAUGGGGGAAACCCUGAUGCAGCAACGCCGCGUGAGUGAUGAAGGUCUUCGGAUUGUAAAGCUCUGUCUUUAGGGACGAUAAUGACGGUACCUAAGGAGGAAGCCACGGCUAACUACGUGCCAGCAGCCGCCGCGGUAA
rnacentral:rRNA from 1 species